GGCGUAGUCGAUGGGAAACGGGUUAAUAUUCCCGUACUUGGUGUUACUGCGAAGGGGGGACGGAGAAGGCUAUGUUGGCCGGGCGACGGUUGUCCCGGUUUAAGCGUGUAGGUGUGUGUUCCAGGUAAAUCCGGUUCACUUUAACACUGAGGCGUGACGACGAGGCACUACGGUGCUGAAGCAACAAAUGCCCUGCUUCCAGGAAAAGCCUCUAAGCAUCAGGUAACAUCAAAUCGUACCCCAAACCGACACAGGUGGUCAGGUAGAGAAUACCAAGGCGCUUGAGAGAACUCGGGUGAAGGAACUAGGCAAAAUGGUGCCGUAACUUCGGGAGAAGGCACGCUGACACGUAGGUGAAGUGAUUUACUCAUGGAGCUGAAGUCAGUCGAAGAUACCAGCUGGCUGCAACUGUUUAUUAAAAACACAGCACUGUGCAAACAUGAAAGUGGACGUAUACGGUGUGACGCCUGCCCGGUGCCGGAAGGUUAAUUGAUGGGGUCAGCGCAAGCGAAGCUCCUGAUCGAAGCCCCGGUAAACGGCGGCCGUAACUAUAACGGUCCUAAGGUAGCGAAAUUCCUUGUCGGGUAAGUUCCGACCUGCACGAAUGGCGUAAUGAUGGCCAGGCUGUCUCCACCCGAGACUCAGUGAAAUUGAACUCGCUGUGAAGAUGCAGUGUACCCGCGGCAAGACGGAAAGACCCCGUGAACCUUUACUAUAGCUUGACACUGAACAUUGAGCCUUGAUGUGUAGGAUAGGUGGGAGGCUUUGAAGUGUGGACGCCAGUCUGCAUGGAGCCGACCUUGAAAUACCACCCUUUAAUGUUUGAUGUUCUAACGUGGACCCGUAAUCCGGGUUGCGGACAGUGUCUGGUGGGUAGUUUGACUGGGGCGGUCUCCUCCUAAAGAGUAACGGAGGAGCACGAAGGUUGGCUAAUCCUGGUCGGACAUCAGGAGGUUAGUGCAAUGGCAUAAGCCAGCUUGACUGCGAGCGUGACGGCGCGAGCAGGUGCGAAAGCAGGUCAUAGUGAUCCGGUGGUUCUGAAUGGAAGGGCCAUCGCUCAACGGAUAAAAGGUACUCCGGGGAUAACAGGCUGAUACCGCCCAAGAGUUCAUAUCGACGGCGGUGUUUGGCACCUCGAUGUCGGCUCAUCACAUCCUGGGGCUGAAGUAGGUCCCAAGGGUAUGGCUGUUCGCCAUUUAAAGUGGUACGCGAGCUGGGUUUAGAACGUCGUGAGACAGUUCGGUCCCUAUCUGCCGUGGGCGCUGGAGAACUGAGGGGGGCUGCUCCUAGUACGAGAGGACCGGAGUGGACGCAUCACUGGUGUUCGGGUUGUCAUGCCAAUGGCACUGCCCGGUAGCUAAAUGCGGAAGAGAUAAGUGCUGAAAGCAUCUAAGCACGAAACUUGCCCCGA
rnacentral:rRNA from 1 species